CGCAGGACUAAGCCAGAAGGAGAACAUGCCACAUGGAAAGCUUUAUCUGUUUCUUCCCAACGCUCAUCUGACAGAGAUGUCACAAGCUUAUCCAGAAAAUUGGUAAGUUAUUUCCUCGGCCUGUUCCACGAACGCCUGCCGACUCAAUCAACAGUUUUGGCCGCACAGAUUCUUGCAUUGGCAUCAGGCGCCUCUUGUGUUCAGCUGCUUCUGCAUCCAGUGAUAAAUGUUCCCGGCCUUCAUGGAAUUCCAUCAAUCCAGCUCGGUCAUUUCCUCAGUGUCUAAUGAGAUGGCGGUCCUUCCAUGAGCUCACCUCUCGUGUCUGUCCCGGACUGACCUCGUUCAUGUCAUGCAAACAACAGCACAUUAAUCCGGCUAAGUCCUCGCUAAGGGGGAAAUCCCCCCCCCCACCUCCACCAACACCGCCACUACCUCCUCCUCCCUCUCCUCCUCGCCUGAGUCUGCUCCUCGUACACAUGUGGCCACUUGCAUCCCCAUCACGCUAAUCAGAGCCAGAGAACAAAGGUGAGCCAAGACUGAAUAAGCUGCGGCCAAAAACAACCCAGACAAACCGGUAAACAGACCAACAGAAACAUCCUCAGCGCCAUCUCAGCCAGCCAGGAGGUAACCACCGGACAUCGCCAGUUAGAGAUGGUUAAAAUGAGAGCGUUGUCGCCUGCCAGACCACCGUGCGAGGCAGAAGAGAUAACUUGGGGAGGCUGUCACCUUCCCAAGUGAUUGUUGUUUGUGAGUGAAAAGCCUGAGAAAAGGACAAGGUGUGUUUCACUUUGGCUGUGAGAUACCAAAUGGACAUGUGGCUAAUUUGGUAUGAGUAAGCACUAUUUUCUAUAAUAUGCACCCCGACACUGCAAUUAAGUCUUGGAAAUGCUCCUUUCACACGCUGUUCAUUGUGUUUGAAAGGGGAAAAGAGACAAACCCACCGACAAUUAUCACCUCACUCCUACCCUCAGUUCUACAGAGUCUUUCAGCAUCUUUCAGCUCCUUGUUUUGGUUCUCCAGCCCUCAAGUUUGCUAUUUAUUCACUCGUGUCAGCACUGUUUCCAGCUACGGCAGCAGGCUCUCUGAUAAAACCACUGAAAGCUGUCUUAGUAGCUCAAACCUCAGACAAAGUUAGCAACUAGCUGGUGUAAUAGAUAGAAAUUCCUCUUAGGAGUUGGCACAGACCAGAAGUUGAGUCAGCAUUGGAGUUGCAUUCAUCAGGUGGCCUCAAAUGACUCCAAACAAAAUCUAAUGUUGUUCAUUUUCUUGUGGAUGUGUAUAAAGGUAAUUGUUUGCUAAUA